rnacentral:lncRNA from 1 species
AGUCAACAUUGUUGCUAAGUGCAGGAUCAGAGGAUAGAAUCAACAUGAUAUAGGUUAGGGAGCACAGAUUUGCCAGAAGUUUUUAUGCCUAGAAAAGAGGGUCUUAUCUAAGUGGGUAUAUAAGAAUCCUUAGGUUUAAUAUUGUAAGUGAGCUCUCCUGGUAAUAUCCUAGGGGGACAGAGUGGGACAUCUGUAUUAACCCUACAAGCAUGUUGCUCUCAUCUAUUUUUCCUGGGGCUAAGAUGUCCUUUACUUCUGUGUGGGGAAAGAGAAAGAUGUUUUCUCAAAUGGAGAAUGACCUAGAGACUGAACUUCAAAGCUCUUCUGGGGAAUUUGUUUUUCACUAGCUUCCUUUUCUGACCCAAUGGACUUCUGGGUAACAACUCUAACUUCAGUCAGAUACUUUUCUCCACACAUACUGGUACCCAGUACCAAUUUUUUCUAUUCACCUAUUUUAUAGUUUAGCACUAUUAAAG